rnacentral:rRNA from 1 species
UACGAAGGGGGCUAGCGUUGUUCGGAUUUACUGGGCGUAAAGCGCACGUAGGCGGAUCGUUAAGUCGGGGGUGAAAUCCUGGAGCUCAACUCCAGAACUGCCUUCGAUACUGGCGAUCUCGAGUCCGGAAGAGGUGAGUGGAACUCCUAGUGUAGAGGUGGAAUUCGUAGAUAUUAGGAAGAACACCAGUGGCGAAGGCGGGUUGCUGGGCCGACACUGACGCUGAUGCGCGAAAGCCAGGGGAGCGAACGGG